GGCUCACAGGCCCAGUUGCUCUGCGGCACGUGGGAUCCUCCCAGACCAGGGCUCGAACCCGUGUCCCCUGCAUUAGCAGGCAGAUUCUCAACCACUGCACCACCAGGGAAGCCCCGGAGAGGGUUAAUUUUAAAAGAGAACAUGGCGGAAGGGAGAGGGCCAGACAGCAGGCUGGCAGUAGACUGCAGCAUUCUCCUCCUUGGAAGACUUGGAAAUUGAGGAGAGACGCAGGUGGGCAAUGCUGCUUGGCUAGCCUCACGCCUCCCUCCAUCAUGUCCCAAAUGAAGGUGUCAGGAUGCUCUCCCAGGCUGGAGCCCAGGCACCCAGUCUCCAGCAUCCCUCAGUGGCUGAGGGGAAGGUCAGGUGGGGAAAUACUUAGCUCAUGCUCUAGAAAUCCUUCAAGGGAUUCUGAUGUUAUUAGUCUCAGGUGGGGCCUGGGCGUGGUUAUUUUUAUAAAGCUCCCCAAGGAUUUCGAUGUGCAGCCACGGUUAAGAACCACUGGAGGAUUGUGGGGGGCGGGAACGGCUGUGCAGGAGGAUCCCAGGUUGGACGCAGCCUGGGUGAGGGGAGAGUAGCUCCUGGGGGCUUCUAGGAAGAAAUGUUGUCCAAGCUGAAAGGAUGAGAGUUAAUAAUAAUAACGUUAUUAAAUGUUUCUUACCUGUAAGGCUCUGUCCAUGCUCUGCACAUCCAUUUUUCCAUUUAAUCCGUAGCCAAACUACAGUGAUGCAGAAAUGUGCCCAAAUUCCCACAGCUGGGAAGUGGCAGCAUGGCUGAGCCUGUUUUAAACUCAGGCGGACUGGUUUCAGACCAGUGUUAGCCAGGCUGGGGGGCAUGUGUGGUGGAAAGAAGGAUUAAGGGUUUCUGGAAGAGGGAAUCAUGCCAGAAGAAAACAAAGCUCUUAAUCCUCACUCAGAGCCUCAGUCCCUUCGCCUAUAAAAUGGGGCUCAUUUGUCGCUGCCCUGAAUAUCCCCCAGAGGGUGGCUGGGAAGAUGAGUGAGUUUGUAAAUCCAACAGGACCAUUGCUUAGUUAUUAUCACCAUCCCAGCAGCCCAGUAAAGCAGGGAGGGCAGAGGAGAGUCAUGGACCGCUUGUCUCGGACGUGUUGCCUAGUGACCUGAUAUCAUGGGACAGUGUCCAUUUUCCUCUGCCUGUUUGUGCUCCAUCGGAGCUGCGUGACAGCUGUGUGAAUUUUGUUCUGAUUCUGACAGUGAAAGCUUACAAAAUCCACAGCAGACAGGAUGACAGAGCUGACUGCCAGUGGCUCCUCAGAGCUAAGCCAGCAAAGACACAGUUGUCAGAAGACAAGGUCUCACAGAAGGGCCGGAAAUCGAGCAUCUCUGGUGCGUCCAAGAUUUCACACUUGGGCAGCAGUUCCUAAAGUGAGUUCCGCCAGAAGAAAAGGGAAUGGGUUGGGUUCUGCAGUCAGAUAGUUUUGGGAAGUCCUGGGUUAAACGAUACUCAAACCUUCUUCUUUAGCUUGGCGAUGUGCACUGUGAACCUUUAAGAAGAAGGUUCAGCUGGUAGCUCUUGUUGCCUCACAGAUUAGCCUAAAAUCAAGCAGCCUAAGACAAUCAACAUUUAAUAGUUCACAGUUUCUAAGGUUCAGCAAUUCAGCUAAGGCUGAGCUGGUCGUUCUGAUUUGGGGUCUCAUGAGGUUGAAUCGUGAUGGUGGCCAGGUCUGCAGUCAUCUGAAGGUUUGACUGGAGUCGAGGGUCUACUUUUCUUUUUCAUAUUAGAGUAGAGUUGAUUUACAGUGUGUUAGUUUCAGCCAAGUGAUUCAGUUUUAUAUAUAGUCAGUCCCCUACAUAGGAACUUUCAAGUGGUGAACUUUCAAAGAUGUGAACGUGCGUUCGCAUGUCCAGUCACGUAAGUUCGUUCCUGUCUGGUGUACAUUGUCAUGUGCGUGCCUCCUCUACAAGUGAUUGUGCUUUUGUUACUUUACUGCACAGUACUCUAUAAAGCACAGUAUCUUUAUUUCAAGACCAGGAUGUCUGGAAGCAAGUGUAAAAGCAGUGGUGAUGUAGCUGGUAUUACUGUACUUUUCAAGAGAUCUUCACAUCAUAGAAUUGACUUUCGGUGCAUUGGCCAAAGCUCCUCAAAGACCACUGGGGAAGAUGUCCGGAGCGCCUCCUGGAGGUCGGAGCAACUGGCAGGUGCUGACGGAUGCCUGGCCGGCCGCCCGCUGUACCUGGCUGUGCGGAGAGGGAACAGGAGAUGGAGCUCCCCUUGGCUACAGCCUCUGAGCCCAGGGCCUGGCUGUCUCCCACGGACUUCAGCUGCAGAGAAUCAGAGUGGAGGCCGAGAGGAGCCAGAGGCAGGUCCCAGACAAACCAAUGAGGAGCAUCAAGUAUAUGCAGAAGGAUGUAAUAAACCUCAAGAAAGACCUUACACGAAGCCGCAUCUUGAUUCAGUGGGUGAAGAUUGGCCGUGGUUACUUUACUAUUCUGAGGGAGGAGAGUGCAUUGAAAAAGAAGCAACAACAACUUCAGAAACUCAAAGAGGAAGGAAGAAAUAUAUUCCAACCAGCCAAAAAGAUGUCAGAUGUCCAGUAUGGGGAUAUUCUUUUGACCGAGCCCAUCUUCCGCCAGCUCUGUGCCCUCCACUGGCUCCUGGAGGCCCUGACUAUCGACCACACCCACCACACCAUGAAGCCCGUGAUCACCUGCUGGAAUUCGAAACCAAGAGAUUCAAGGUUCCUGUAGCACGCGUCACCAGCUACAAACCAAGCCGGCGAGGCUCCACCCUCAGUCUGUCUCGGACCAGUGGAGGGUCAUCCCCCCAGAGCAGCAUGGUCUCCGUGAACCCGGGCUCAGAUGAGCCCCAGAGUGUGAUCACCCAGGCGACAGGCAGCAAGGACGUUGAGGACAGUGAAUCGUCUUCGGCCAAGCCUGAAGAAGAGCCUCUCCAUGUCAAUCUGCAGAAGCUCCUGGAGAUGGUUCGGGAAGAUGCUCAGAGAACAGUCACAAUGGCAGAUGGGAUGCAAAAACAAGCAGCCAGUAUCUUCUCAACGCUCAGACAAAACAAGAGUGAUUCUGCCUAUAAAGACAUGCAGACCACCCGCAAAUCAAGUGACAGAUCCAGCAGUACAAGUGGAGACAGCCACUCCCAGGUGCUCCAGAAGAAGUCUAAAAGCCGCAGCAACCGUGACAUCAUCCACUGCAAGAGUGGGGUGUGUAACGCCCUGAGGGCCAAGUUUAACAAUGUGGCCCAGGAGGCUGGCCUCUGUCUACAGGACAAGAUGGAAAUCCUCAUGAAGCGCCAAGAAGAAAGAGGUCUCCAGAAGUUCCGUUCUUUUGACCUUGUCUCAAAUUUCCAAAAGGAUGUAGCAAAAAUGAGACACCACAUCUCCAUGGCAAAAGGAGAUGCAGAAGAAAUUGCACAGCACUGGUACUUUGACCUGCUGUCCAAACUCCCUGAGGAUCUGAAGAAUUUCCGCCCUGCCAAAAAGAUCCUGGCGAAACUGCAGAAGUUUGGGGAAAAUCUGGACCUGAGGAUCCGGCCGCAUGUUCUCUUGAAGGUGCUGCAGGACAUGAGGGUCUGGGAGCUGUGCUCUCCGGACAUCGCGGUGGCUGUCGAGCUCAGAGCACGGGGUGGAGGAUGAUGCCUUUAAUGUACCAGGAGGAGAGGAAGAAAAGAAGGUUCAGAACAAGAAGGAGCAGGGCAUCUUCCAAGUCCAUUCACAGAGCUCACAGUGAGUGUUUCGAUACGUCCUCCCUGGCAAGUACAGGUGCGCCAAUCAGACCAAGGCGGGAUCUGGCGGCUCAUUCAGCAGGUCCAACUUUUCAAAGCCUCGGUUGGGGAAAUAGUGCAGCCCGUUUCCCAAAACACUUAACUCCAGCAACAAGGUUUUAGUGUUUGGCAACAUACAAGCAGAAUGCAAUUAAGCCUUGGAGCUGUGCACUGGGUGUCUACCAGCCGGAGCCAAAUGGAAAUGGAGUGAGGUGAGGCUGUGUUUGGAGCAUGGAAUAAAGUCGUCUGUCUCAGGCCCCCACGGUGGGAGAUGCUUCAGUGAGAACUGGCUGAAAAUGGUGAGGGACCUUGAGAACUCAGGUUGUCAUCAGAGAAGGAGGCGUGGCUGAGACGAAUAAGGACAGAAGACAGAGAGGUACUAAAGUCAUGAAGAAUGAGCCUUCUGUCUUGGGCAGAGCGGAAAGAAGAGUCCAAACUCUCUUCUUAUUCAACAGACUUAUAGUGAGCACCCGCAAUGCCUCUAGGCCCCAUGGGUGCUGAUUUAAAUAAUAAUCGUUGUUAACAAUUAUUGGGCACUUACAUGCCAGGUGCUCUCUUAAACACUUUGUAUGCAAUAUCUUUUUUUUUUUUUUUUUUUCUGCGGUACGCGGGCCUCUCACUGUUGUGGCCUCUCCCAUUGUGGAGCACAGGCUCCGGACGCGCAGGCUCAGCGGCCAUGGCUCACGGGCCCAGCCGCUCCGUGGCAUGUGGGAUCUUCCCGGACCGGGGCACGAACCCAUGUCCCCUGCAUUGGCAGGCGGACUCUAAACCACUGCGCCGCCAGGGAAGCCCGCAAUAUCUUUUUAAAAUAUAACAAUUCUAUGAAGAAAGCGUUAUCGUCAUCACUUUCAAUGAGAAAGCUGAGGCUCCGAGAAUUGCAGCACGUUGGUUGCAAGCGACAGAACUCAGACUCACUUGGACUAGAGAGAAAUUUGUUGCCUCAAGGAAUACAGUGAAGGAUUGAAACAGCAAGCUCUGGUAUGGACGAAGAUGCAUCUGGAUCUUUUGAUGCAUCUGGUACCAGGGGCCCUUCCUGUGCCUCCCCUUUACUUCUGUCUGUGCAUCAGCCAUAAGCUAUCCUGCAGCAUGCCAUCCUCUUAACGCAGAUGGCGGUAUGGUUUCUGGCCUUCCCAAGGCUGUUCUCCUCUGUUCUGGUUUUUCAAAUUCCAGGGAAAAGCUCUAAUUGACCCAGCUUGGGUCAAGUGUCCGCCGGGGUCAGCGCAAGCUUGAGCCAGGGAGGUGACAGUGAUGACGGAAGGAAAAGGACAGAUUCCAGAGGCAUCAUGCCUUCAACACACUGGAAGCAACCUGUGUGCAGUCAUAAGGGUCAUGUAAGUAUGGUACAGCCUGUCUGAAUAAUUGCUCUACAUCCAUAAAAAUAAAGAUGCAGAUGAAUAAGUAAUGAAACCAAAAGAUGUUCACAGUAUAUUAAGUGAAAAAAAAAGGUUACAAUACAGAAUGUACAUCAUGAUCCCAUUUUCAGGUGGAUGAUAUAUAGUUAGAUCAGGAGGGCAGAUACUGAGGGAAAAAAGACCUUGAAAAAGCACACACGUAAAGAUGCGAAUAAUGACCAUCUCUUCUAAGCUAAACUUCCAAGAAGUUACUUUCCAUGCUCUAUUUUAUUUUCUUCGUUGCCCUUAACGCUUUCUGAAAAUGUCUGAUCCAUUUGUUCAUCUGUUUAUAAAUUCCAGGAGGGAGGGAGUCCUUCAUUCUUCCUCUAUUCCCAGAACCUAGAAUCAAGCCAUAGGAAAAGCUCUAUAGAUACCAGUGAAGUUGCUCAGUGAUGAGAUCCCACUUUUUUUUCUUACCUAUUUUAAAAAAUGUAUACAAUGAAUUCAUAAGAAGAAAUAGCAAAGAAGCAAGACAUUAAAAGGUGUCAUUCUCACCACUGGCCAUACUAUCACCACCAGCGCCACCAACGCCACUGGUUCCUUGAUCAUGGCCGUGGUCCCCAGAAGGACCUCGCAGUCAGAGGCUAACGCCAGACACCACUAGCACAACAUCAAAGUGCUUUGCUCAGCCUGUGAACCCACCCAGUGCGUCUCUCGCCUUUCUCCAGCUUCCUGGGUGCCCACUUUGUCCAUCUGUGCCCACUCGGUACAGGGGAUGUUAUUAACGCCAUCACACCCGCAUAGACUCAGGAGCCCAGAAUAACCUGCCACCGGUAGGGCAUACGCUCAGAAGAAUGUUUCCAGGAAGAGGAGGUGACCAAUCUGUACCCACGCUCGUCCUAUCCUCACCCCCUCACCUCCUUUGCCCCCAGUCCUGAGGACUUUGAAGAUCAUUAUGAAACACCAGAGCUGGCUAAGGUUGGAGAAGGAACUCAGGCUGUGGGCACAGAAAAGUAAGAAUGGAGGCAAGUAGACCGCUUGUUCUGACCCUUCGGAGUUGGUCCCCAACAAGGGUCCUCCUGCCCAGUGUUGUUCGGGCCAAUAGAAGCAGACUGAAUUCAGUUCAGAAACAAAGGAAAGCUUUAUUGUUUGAUCAAAGAAUGGAGAGGUGCCACCUCGACAAGCUCUCCCGGCAGCCCGCCAGGCCGUGGGCGGGGCUGCUUUGUAGGGUCCUGGGCCGCGGAGGGGGCGGGGUUCUCGCAAGUCGGGCGCAUGCGCUGCUCAAGGCUCCAGCUCUCAGAGCCGGGCGGCAGCAGUCCUGCACGCGGCCCGGGAGCAAGGACUCCGCACGCAGCCACCUAGGAGGAAGGGAAGCCAGACUAAGCACAAAAGGAAAAAAAGGUUAGACUUUAUUAUCAUUUCCUGGGAACUGUGCCUGCGCUUUGCGAGCGGCAGCUCCCUCGUCUGCCUUUCUUCCGGCGCUGGGCGUCUUCUGUAGCUGCCUCCUGCCGAGGCUGGGCGUCUUCGUGGCCUGGGUGAAGGAGCAGAGCUCCCCCAGCCGCCUUUAGAUGUGUUUGAUGGUGAGCAGGCCUCGGUCCUGACUGUUUGCCCCUGAGCGACCCCCAUUUGUCUAACCUCUUGGAGACAAAGGACGCCAGGCAGUUGCGGGUGCGUGGCCCAGACGUUAGCAAGAGCGUAAUGGCCACAUGGCAGAUUUUUCCUAAACAUGAAGCUCUUGGUCUUCAGCCUGCUGGCCACUGUGGCUGAUGUGGAGGCUCGGUCGGGGCGGACUCUCCCUGGUCACACUUUGGUGGUUUUUCGGAGGAGAGGCUUCAGGUCAGAGAGAGGUUAGCACGAGUAGUCAAGGGGGGCCGUUGCCCCAGGUUGUCUCUGGAGGUUCCCUCCAGCGUGAUGCCCCCCCGGAGUGACCCCUGCGACUUAAGGGCAGACGGGUGAUUGGGGUCACAAGUGGGGUCCGUCCACUUGGGGGUGAGCUGGACUUGGAGGCCACCGCUUUUCCAGGGUUUUAGGUGCACCCAGACUCCUGGCUGGAGGGGGUGCAGGGCCAUGUAGGUGGGUGGGUGCGGGCAGCACCUGGGCACCAUAUUCAAUGAGGGCUUUCACGUUUUCUCCCCCCGGAGGGCCCACUUGAGUUGGUCCAUUUCAAGGGGGCUCAGGUGUCUCUUCUCUCAGGCAUGGGGAAUGGGUCUACCAUUCGUGAGUUCUAACGCACUAGAUUUACCUUAUCCUUGGGGCUAACUGCGUGCCAGCCGGGCAAUUGGAAGCAACUGAAUCUAAUUUUCUUGAGUCUUCUGGCAUAGCUCAGCUGAGGUUCGUUUGCAGGUCUGAUUGGAUCUCUCUACUUUCUCCGAUGACUGGGGUCUCCAGGCAGAGUGCAGAGUCCAUUUUAUGCCCAGGGCACUCGUUAUUCGCUUCGUCACUUGAGACACAAAUGCCGGACCAUUAUCACUUUGUAGGGAUCCUGGGACCCCAGACCUAGGGAUUAUUUCUUUUAGUAAUGCCUUACCUGUUUCAGCUGCCAUUUCAGGUCUAGCGGGGAGUGCUUCUAUCCACCCAGAUAAUGUGUCUGUCAGCAGCAAGAGGUACCUGAAAUUACCAGGUACUCUGGGCAUGACAGUGAAAUCAAAAUCUGCCA